rnacentral:rRNA from 1 species
UACGGAGGGGACGAGCGUUGUCCGAAGUUACUGGGCGUAAAGCGCGCGUAGGCGGGUUGGCAAGCCUGCUGUGAAAGCCCGGGGCUUAACCCCGGAGGGUCGGUGGAUACUGCCAGUCUUGAAGGUGCUAGGGGGAGAUGGAAUUACCGGUGUAGCGGUGAAAUGCGUAGAUAUCGGUAGGAACACCAGUGGCGAAGGCGGUCUCCUGGGGCACUCUUGACGCUGAGGCGCGAAAGCUGGGGGAGCGAACGGG